rnacentral:lncRNA from 1 species
GUGGAGAAUUGGGUUAGAAAGAGGUGAAGGUGAAGAUCAAUGGAGGCUUUAGGGCUGGCUGUGUGUUUUGCUGGGUUUGUGUGACUGUGCCCAGAGGGCGGAGUUCCUGCACAUUCCUACCUCACCGGAGAACCUGCCCUCAACUCCACUGCAGCUACUCCAGAGAGAUGGGACCCUUCAGAAGAAACCUGCCCAGCAAUCCCAGCAAGCCUUCCCGCCAGAAGGAUUCCAGGAGAAACUGCCUCUACCUGCAAGAAAGGCGCACGUUGGCACUUGGGGAUAGAAGUCCUCCAUCGGCACCGGGUAUCUGUGGAGGAAGAAGGUGACGUGACGAGAAAAGCCUGACAGCCAAAGCGGGAACUGUCCGGGAGAAGGAUCCGUGAUGAAUGAAGCCUGUGAAGUCCUGAUGCAAAAGCAGAGCAGGACAGUGUGUUGGCAAACCCAAAUACCGGUUUUUGUUCUCUGGAACCAAAAAGGAAAAUGG